rnacentral:misc_RNA from 1 species
GAAUUUUUCUCACAAGGUGGAGGGAACCACUGCCAAGGAGGUGAUGGAUCUCAUCAUGAUCACCCAAUACUUUGACACAAUCAAAGACCUCGGAUCCUCAUCUAAGAACACUACUGUCUUUAUUCCUCACGGUCCUGGUCAUAUUAGGGAUGUUGGUGAGCAAAUACGCAAUGGGUUGAUGGAGGCAGCCAGUGCUCAAGUGAAUGUGGAAUAGCUUUGCCAUUUAGUAUAUAGAGAAUUUAAUACAUUUUUGUGGAACUUGUUUACAUAUGGCUUGAAUAGGAAUAUAUUAAAUGGUAAAUGGUUAUGCAUCGCCAGCGCACAUAACAAUCAGGCUCACAAGAAUUACCAGCUGUGUAAAUA